CAGCGGCACCGGAGCGGGCCGGGCCGGGCCCGCAGCCCCCCGCAGCAUGGCCGAGCCGCCGGCGGCAGCGCCGGCCCCCGAGGGCGAGGAGGGCCCGGUGCGCUUCGCCCGCAAGGGCGCCCUGCGGCAGAAGAACGUGCACGAGGUGAAGAACCACAAGUUCACGGCGCGGUUCUUCAAGCAGCCCACCUUCUGCAGCCACUGCACCGACUUCAUCUGGGGCUUCGGCAAGCAGGGCUUCCAGUGUCAAGUUUGCUGCUUCGUGGUGCACAAGCGGUGCCAUGAAUUCGUCACCUUCUCCUGCCCCGGGGCUGACAAGGGCCCUGCCUCGGAUGAUCCCCGGAGCAAACACAAAUUUAAAAUCCACACGUACUCCAGCCCCACCUUCUGUGACCACUGCGGGUCGUUGCUGUACGGGCUCAUUCACCAGGGGAUGAAAUGUGACACCUGCAUGAUGAACGUGCACAAGCGCUGCGUGAUGAACGUGCCCAGCCUGUGCGGGACGGACCACACGGAGCGCCGGGGCCGCAUCUACAUCCGGGCCGACAUCGACAAGGACGUGCUCACCGUCGUAGUAAGAGAUGCUAAAAACCUAGUUCCUAUGGACCCUAAUGGCUUGUCAGAUCCCUACGUGAAGCUUAAACUAAUCCCUGACCCCAAAAAUGAAAGCAAACAGAAGACCAAAACUAUCAAGUGCUCCCUGAAUCCUGAGUGGAAUGAGACAUUUAAAUUCCAGCUGAAGGAGGCAGACAAAGACAGGCGGUUGUCUGUGGAGAUCUGGGACUGGGAUCUGACCAGCAGGAAUGAUUUCAUGGGCUCCCUGUCCUUCGGGAUCUCUGAGCUGCAGAAGUCAGGAGUGGAUGGAUGGUUCAAGCUGCUCAGCCAGGAGGAGGGCGAGUAUUUCAACGUCCCCGUGCCCCCCGAGGGAGAAGAAGGAAACGAGGAGCUGAGGCAGAAGUUUGAGAGAGCCAAGAUUGGAACGGGGUCCAAGGCUGCGGACGAGAAGACAAGAAAUGCCAUUUCCAAACUGGACAACAACGGCAGCCGGGACCGCAUGAAGCUCUCGGAUUUCAACUUCCUGAUGGUGCUGGGAAAAGGGAGCUUUGGCAAGGUGAUGCUGGCAGAGAGGAAGGGCACGGACGAGCUGUAUGCUGUGAAGAUCCUGAAGAAGGACGUGGUUAUCCAGGACGAUGACGUGGAGUGCACCAUGGUGGAGAAGCGCGUGCUGGCGCUCUCGGGGAAGCCUCCAUUCCUGACCCAGCUCCACUCCUGCUUCCAGACCAUGGAUCGCUUGUAUUUUGUGAUGGAAUACGUGAAUGGUGGGGACUUGAUGUACCAGAUCCAGCAGGUCGGGAGGUUCAAGGAGCCCCACGCUGUAUUCUACGCAGCAGAAAUAGCCAUCGGGCUCUUCUUCCUGCAGAGCAAAGGCAUCAUUUAUCGAGACCUGAAGCUGGACAAUGUGAUGCUGGACAGCGAGGGGCACAUAAAGAUCGCCGACUUUGGCAUGUGCAAGGAGAACAUCUGGGACGGGGUGACCACCAAGACCUUCUGUGGCACCCCGGACUACAUCGCGCCCGAGAUCAUUGCCUACCAGCCCUACGGGAAGUCGGUGGAUUGGUGGGCCUUCGGAGUCCUGCUCUAUGAGAUGUUGGCUGGCCAGGCCCCCUUUGAGGGAGAAGAUGAAGAUGAGCUCUUCCAGUCCAUCAUGGAGCACAACGUCGCCUACCCCAAGUCCAUGUCCAAGGAGGCAGUGGCCAUCUGCAAAGGGCUGAUGACCAAGCACCCCGCCAAGCGCCUGGGCUGCGGCCCCGAGGGGGAGCGGGACAUCAAGGAGCACGCCUUCUUCCGCUACAUCGACUGGGACAAGCUGGAGCGCAAGGAGAUCCAGCCCCCCUUCAAGCCAAAGGCUUGCGGACGCAAUGCUGAAAACUUCGACCGCUUUUUCACCCGCCACCCGCCCGUGCUAACGCCUCCCGACCAGGAAGUCGUCGGGAACAUUGACCAGUCAGAAUUCGAAGGCUUUUCCUUUGUUAACUCUGAGUUUUUUAAGCCUCAAGCCAAGAGCUAAGUUGCUGUGCGGAUCUCAUCGCUGCGUCUGCCAUCGGUUCCAGCUGCUGUUGUGGUGACACAUUCCAUCGCAAAACUUGCAUCCAUGGGCUUGCUUUAGUGACCAUAUUUCAAGUGUCUUCCUGGUGUUUGGGGUGUCGCUGGAGGGGAGUGAUGUGCAAGAAAUGCUGCAAAUGGGCUUUUGUAACAUUUUGUUUGUAGAAAAUGGGAGCAGCUCAGUGGGUGACAGAACGAAAAUGGUGACACGGUGACAGCUGGGAGGAAUCCCUUCAUCAUGUGCUUUAAUUCGUGCUCUUUCCUUUUUCCAGUGUUUUAAAUAAUUAUGAAAAUUUAAUAUUUAGCCUUCUUAGCCUUCGUGGCAAAGUAAGUGUUUUUAAUGAGACCAUUCCCCAGAGUCUCUCUCCUCCCAAAAGCUCUGGAGAGCCAAGGUGCUGUUCUGGCUCCUUUUCUGGCCGUGUCCUGCUGUGUGUCCAGCCCCACCACAGCUCCCCUUCCCUGCACCAAGGCUUUGGGCCGGCUGGGUCCCCAGCAGUGGGAGAAGUUAUUCAGGAAGGCAGAGCUGCCGUUGGCAAAGAUUUCUCCUGAUUGUGCAGUUUCUAAGUAGCAUUUUUUAAAAUCAAAGCAAAUAUCCUGUGGUAAAAGGGAAAUUUGGAAGAGCUGGUUCUGAAUCCAUGGUCAUCCUAGUAAACACCACCAACAUCCAUUCUGUAGUGAAGCUUUUUCUUCUUUUCAAAUGCCAAAGCCAUUGAUGGAGUUUGUUACCUGUGCUUUAAAUGUGUCAAAAAUGGUAUUGACCCAAAGGGGAGAUACUUAACUCUGACCAGUAUUGUGAAUUCUGAUAUGAAGUGUGUAAAGACGCUUGUUUCAACGGAUACUUCUUAAAAAUUGCCCAAGUUUUGUUUCUGGCAUCAAAGGAAACAUUUCAGGAAGGGUGAAUUUCUCUUGAAAGGACAACGAUCACGCUGCUUCCUUUUAUACCCUUGCAGAUGUUCGUGGGCUGUCACUGUAUCAACCUGCUUGAUUUGUAAUGUGCCAAUUAACUUUUUUUUUUCUGAUACCGAUUAUAAAAUAAAAGGUGAGAAAACCCGCCCCAGAAACCUGCAUGUGUUUGGCAAUAAUGAGUUUCUGCAGUUCAGCGAGGUGAUUCCUGCCGACAGCCGGGGCUGGAAGCAGCCCUGGCUGCUGGGGGAUGCUGGCUCAAUCGCGGCGGUGGAGCCGCGGCUCCUUCUUGCUCUGCGUUUGUCCCAAAAAUCCGAGGUGGGAUGUACUGGAAGCAUCAUCCGGGAGGGAGCGACUGCCCGCAGCCUCCUGCAGCAGCCCACGCUGCGCAGCGCCCGCCCGGGCUCCAGCACGGCCAGGGAAGGAGAAGUUUGUGUGGAUGAGGCCGGCAGGAAGGACACAGCGAGGUGAGGACACGGCUGAGGCCGGCAGGAAGGACACAGCGAGGUGAGGACACGGCUGAGGCUGGCACAGCACUGGGGAUCUCUGGCAGCACCUUGAGCAGAGCCGACUGCGGCAUCGCCUCGCACUCCCCGAGCUGCAGAGCCCGGCGUGACUCAUCCACCCCUGCCCGCUCUCCCAGCAGCACUUGUUAGAAGCGAUUGGCACUUGCAGCUAAAGAGGGAUUACGGGCUCCUGUUCACCUCCCUCCUGCCUCUGGGAAUCCGCCUCUGCCAAGCUCCGCGGGUCCGGGCGCUGCAAGGCUGUUCCGAGAGGUCCCGAACGUCGGCGGGAGCCGAUCCCGGCAGCCCUGGAGCUGUGCCGCAGGGAGGGGGCUCAGGGCAGCGCUCAGGGAGGAUCCCCAUCCCUGGGGCCAGGCAGAAAUGCUGCUCGGGCCAGCCGUACCUGGGCACAGUGCCACGGGCACUGGGGCCACGCCGUGCCACCACCGUGCCACCAGCACACCACCCCGCUGUGCUCCUCGUCACCUCCCAGAGUCAAUUCACCCAUCGCUGGAGGCACUUUCAGCCCUGAUUGUCCCCUGCGCUCCCCUCUCUCCGUGAGACCCACACAGCCGUUCCCUGCCUGUUCCCGGACUGUUCAUCAUCUUGACAGAGGCCAAAUUGCCACCAGCUCAGGCAGAAUUCAAGCACCCCAAAGCUUUCCUGCUCAGGAGAAGCUCCUGGCUUGGUGGGACAGUGCUGUCCUGGCCCACGUUGCUUUGGAUGGAUGUGGCCUUCAGGAGCCACGUGGUCGUCUCAGAACUCUCCAGGAGCCUGGGGCCACUUUCCACAGAGAGACCCCGAGCACAGCCACGGCCGCUCAGCCCCGGAGCACCUGGGGGACCCUGCUGCCAUCGAGAAAGACAAACGCGACACUUCCAACUUCGACAAAGAGUUCACCCGGCAGCCGGUGGAGCUCACGCCCACGGACAAACUCUUCAUCAUGAA